rnacentral:lncRNA from 1 species
AGAGAAAACUACCAUAACAGAAGUACUCGUGUUGCAGCCCUGACAGAUUCUAGCAAAUCUGCAAAUUCUGCU